UAUUAGUUUGGUGCAAAAGUAAUUGCAGUUUUUGCCACUGAAAAUAAUGGUAAAAACUGCUAUUACUUUUGCAUCAACCUAAUA
rnacentral:miRNA from 1 species